GACAGAGGUCCCGAGCGUUAGGCGGAAUCACUGGGCUUAAAGCGUGUGUAGGCGGAUUGGUAAGUCCCUUGUGAAAUCCCACGGCUUAACCGUGGAACUGCUUGGUAUACUGCUUAUCUUGGGCCACUUAGGGGUUACCGGAACAAACGGUGGAGCGGUGAAAUGCGUAGAUAUCGUUUGGAACGCCAAUGGUGAAAACAGGUAACUGGGAGUGUGCCGACGCUGAGACGCGAAAGCCAGGGGAGCGAACGGG
rnacentral:rRNA from 1 species